AUUGAACGCUGGCGGCAGGCUUAACACAUGCAAGUCGAGCGGAGUGAUGGUGCUUGCACUAUCACUUAGCGGCGGACGGGUGAGUAAUGCUUAGGAAUCUGCCUAUUAGUGGGGGACAACAUCUCGAAAGGGAUGCUAAUACCGCAUACGUCCUACGGGAGAAAGCAGGGGAUCACUUGUGACCUUGCGCUAAUAGAUGAGCCUAAGUCGGAUUAGCUAGUUGGUGGGGUAAAGGCCUACCAAGGCGACGAUCUGUAGCGGGUCUGAGAGGAGGGUCCGCCACACUGGGACUGGGCCACGGCCCGGACUCCUACGGGAGGCAGCAGUGGGGAAUAUUGGACAAUGGGGGGAACCCUGAUCCAGCCAUGCCGCGUGUGUGAAGAAGGCCUUAUGGUUGUAAAGCACUUUACGCGAGGAGGAGGCUCUUUUGGUUAAUGCCCAAGAUGAGUGGACGUUACUCGCAGAAUAAGCACCGGCUAACUCUGUGCCAGCCGCCGCCGUAA
rnacentral:rRNA from 1 species